CCGAGUAUCGGUACCCUUAUGGGUACUUACUCCCACCAUUUGUGAACCUUUUUCGUUGCCUCGGCGAACCGAUGGUACCCCCAUCCUUCGGCUUAAUCGUUGAAGAGUGUUCGCCAGAGGAUUUUCAAACCAGUCUUUAACAGUGAAAUCUGAGCAAAACAAAAUAAAAACA
rnacentral:misc_RNA from 1 species